rnacentral:rRNA from 1 species
AACGAACGCUGGCGGCAUGCCUAACACAUGCAAGUCGAACGAGACCUUCGGGUCUAGUGGCGCACGGGUGCGUAACGCGUGGGAACCUGCCCUUAGGUUCGGAAUAACUCCCCGAAAGGGGUGCUAAUACCGGUUAAUGUCUUCGGACCAAAGAUUUAUCGCCUUUGGAUGGGCCCGCGUUGGAUUAGCUAGUUGGUAGGGUAAAAGCCUACCAAGGCGACGAUCCAUAGCUGGUCUGAGAGGAUGAUCAACCACACUGGGACUGAGACACGGCCCAGACUCCUACGGGAGGCAGCAAUGGGGAAUGUUGGACAGUGGGGGAAAGCCUGAUCCAGCAAUGCCGCGUGAGUGAUGAAGGCCUGAGGGUUGUAAAGCUCUUUUACCCGGGAUGAUAAUGACAGUACCGGGAGAAUAAGCUCCGGCUAACUCCGUG